rnacentral:lncRNA from 13 species
CCCCCCCCCCCCCCCCACACACACACCCACACACCCUUCUAGCUCUGACUCUACUAACAGCUACGUUGUUGAGGAAAAUGUUACUUUCUAUGCCUGUGAGAUGUGGUUGUCCCACUUAGCUAUCUCAAGAUGAAUGCACUAACUGCAAGUCGCUCUGGAUAAGAGCAUCUGCUAAAUUACUAAAGUGUAAAAUGUAAAUGUAUUAAUGCUGUAAAUCUGACUACUCCUUUGGCUCUAGUGACUCCAGGGAGCUGUUGGCCACUGUGUCUGAGCUGAAGCAUGCGCACAGUAGAAUGAGUAAGCAAAACAACAGCCUGUUGAGGACUGUAUCUCAGGGUGAGGACACCAACCUGCAGCUCACAGUGGAGAUCACUGAACUAAGUGCCAAGCUGGCCAGUGCCCAGCGGUCAGCAAGGAGAACCAGGUCCCUUGUGGAGGAGCUUGAGGAUGCCAGGAGAUCCCUGAUGGAGGCACAGGAGAGAGCCAGCCAAGCCCAGGCUAGCAGCUGCAAACUGAGCAAAGAAUGUGACUGUCUGAAAGCACACAUUAAAGUUCUUGAAGACCAGAAUGAACAACUCACACUCGAGGGGACUUGUUCUGAAGAUUGUCUCAACAAAUUGAGAAAGGUUAAUGCUGAGAUGAGGGAGGAACUUGAAGAGACCCUUGUCAUGCUGGCUGUAAGAGACAGGGAACUCACUAAAAAAGACAUACUGAUGGAUAAGCUGAAGAACUCUCAUCUGGAGAACCACAGAAUCAUUGAGGGGCUACAGUCAGAGUUUAUGCAUUUAUCAGAGCAUUCCCAGCAAGCUCUUUUGAGGUUUGACAGGCACUGUGGCAGUCCAACAGGUUUCCAGGGAAGGAGUGGAGGGGUUCCUAACCACCGCUCUCUGCAUGCUGAGAUCCAGGACAUUCAGCAGCGUGGGGUUCUGGAGGAGAUGACUGGUCCAGUAUGUGGGGUUUGGUCCUCUCACACUCAGAGGGAAGAUAUCCAAAACAUAAUUCACAGGAUCAAGUCUGCUGAGCUGGCCCACCUUCUCCACGCACACUACCCAGAGAGGGAUUCUGUUGGUGGUUGUGCUGUUGAGACCCUGGAGAGGCCAUAUCCCCACAGCCAACAGCCACAGCCUAGCAUCAAGCAGCAGCUGGUUAAUGUACUGAAGGAACUGGAGCAGCAGAUGACUCUGUGGGAGGAGAGAGAGGAGAAGGUGGCGGAACAACGGAGGCUACAGGAGCAGCAGGAGCAGAGGCAGAAGCCCCAGGCCAAGAGGGCAGCUGUGGUGAACUGGUGGAGAACCCUUAAGGUGGAGGGGGGUAGGACCAAGGUCAAGCCGGAAGACACCCUGACCCAGCCCAGCAAGACCCUCACUGAUACAGAUUCCAAGCUCCAACAGGCAAAGCACACCAUCACAAAGAUUAGGGAGCAGGUAUGCCACCUUGAGUCAGCUCUGAGAACUGCCCAGGAGGACGUAGCUGAGCACAAAUACAUUCAGGACAGGGUGGGUGUUCUUCACAAAGACAAGAAGACCAACACGGUGAGAGAGGGACCUGGCUGGACUGGGGAGGAGGCAUCAAAGGAGCGUAAGGACGUGGCUGUGGCUACAGACCAUGUGGAGGACCCAGGUAGAUCAGAGAAGGUAGCAGCCCAGCUUGUGACCUCAGAGGGUCUGCUGGUGACCCUCAGGAGGAUGGAGGCCAUGGUCAGCAUUGCCCUGGAGGCAGCUGAGCUGGUCAGGGAGAGUCAGCGAAGGGUCAGCCAGGUCAAGGAGAGGAUGGAGAGUAUCACUCAGAAGAUGGAGGAAGCUCUGACCAGAGGAGCGCACACAGAAGAUCAGCUCAGUGCCCUGGAGGCCAGGGUCACAGCCAAACCUCAGGUCAGUUUGCAUAGUCUAUUCUGUGUAUUACAAGAAUAGUGAGCUCAAAUAAGCCCUGACAGUAAAAGUUUAGAAUUUUCU